CAAUAGCGUAUAUUAAAGUUGUUGCAGUUAAAAAGCUCGUAGUUGGAUUUGUGGUUCGUCCCGCCGGCUGGGUCAUUGACUUUUGCUGUGCUGGUCGUCCAUCCUUGGGUGGAAUCUGUGUGGCAUUAGGUUGUCGCGCAGGGGAUGCCCAUCGUUUACUGUGAAAAAAUUAGAGUGUUCAAAGCAGGCUUAUGCCGUUGAAUAUAUUAGCAUGGAAUAAUGAUAUAGGACCUUGGUACUAUUUUGUUGGUUUGCGCACUGAGGUAAUGAUUAAUAGGGACAGUUGGGGGUAUUCGCAUUCCAUUGUAAGAGGUGAAAUUCUUGGAUUUUUGGAAGACGAACUACUGCGAAAGCAUUUACCAAGGAUGUUUUCAUUAA
rnacentral:rRNA from 1 species